rnacentral:rRNA from 1 species
CCUACGGGAGGCAGCAGUGGGGAAUAUUGCACAAUGGGCGCAAGCCUGACCCAGCAACGCCGCGUGAAGGAAGAAGGCUUUCGGGUUGUAAACUUCUUUUCUGAGGGACGAAGAAAGUGACGGUACCUCAGGAAUAAGCCACGGCUAACUACGUGCCAGCAGCCGCGGUAAUACGUAGGUGGCAAGCGUUAUGCGGAUUUAUUGGGUGUAAAGGGCGUGUAGGCGGGAAAGUAAGUCAGAUGGGAAAGCUCAGGGCUCAACCCUGAGCCUGCAUUUGAAACUGUUUUGCUUGAGUGCUGGAGAGGCAAUCGGAAUUCCGUGUGUAGCGGUGAAAUGCGUAGAUAUCCGGAGGAACCCCAGUGGCGAAGGCGGAUUGCUGGACAGUAACUGACGCUGAGGCGCGAAAGCGUGGGGAGCAAACAGGAUUAGAUACCCCAGUAGUC